GGUUAAGCGACUAAGCGUACACGGUGGAUGCCCUGGCAGUCAGAGGCGAUGAAGGACGUGCUAAUCUGCGAUAAGCGUCGGUAAGGUGAUAUGAACCGUUAUAACCGGCGAUUUCCGAAUGGGGAAACCCAGUGUGAUUCGUCACACUAUCAUUAACUGAAUCCAUAGGUUAAUGAGGCGAACCGGGGGAACUGAAACAUCUAAGUACCCCGAGGAAAAGAAAUCAACCGAGAUUCCCCCAGUAGCGGCGAGCGAACGGGGAGCAGCCCAGAGCCUGAAUCAGUGUGUGUGUUAGUGGAAGCGUCUGGAAAGGCGCGCGAUACAGGGUGACAGCCCCGUACACAAAAAUGCACAUACUGUGAGCUCGAUGAGUAGGGCGGGACACGUGGUAUCCUGUCUGAAUAUGGGGGGACCAUCCUCCAAGGCUAAAUACUCCUGACUGACCGAUAGUGAACCAGUACCGUGAGGGAAAGGCGAAAAGAACCCCGGCGAGGGGAGUGAAAAAGAACCUGAAACCGUGUACGUACAAGCAGUGGGAGCACAGAGCAAUCUGUGUGACUGCGUACCUUUUGUAUAAUGGGUCAGCGACUUAUAUUCUGUAGCAAGGUUAACCGAAUAGGGGAGCCGAAGGGAAACCGAGUCUUAACUGGGCGUUAAGUUGCAGGGUAUAGACCCGAAACCCGGUGAUCUAGCCAUGGGCAGGUUGAAGGUUGGGUAACACUAACUGGAGGACCGAACCGACUAAUGUUGAAAAAUUAGCGGAUGACUUGUGGCUGGGGGUGAAAGGCCAAUCAAACCGGGAGAUAGCUGGUUCUCCCCGAAAGCUAUUUAGGUAGCGCCUCGUGAAUUCAUCUCCGGGGGUAGAGCACUGUUUCGGCAAGGGGGUCAUCCCGACUUACCAACCCGAUGCAAACUGCGAAUACCGGAGAAUGUUAUCACGGGAGACACACGGCGGGUGCUAACGUCCGUCGUGAAGAGGGAAACAACCCAGACCGCCAGCUAAGGUCCCAAAGUCAUGGUUAAGUGGGAAACGAUGUGGGAAGGCCCAGACAGCCAGGAUGUUGGCUUAGAAGCAGCCAUCAUUUAAAGAAAGCGUAAUAGCUCACUGGUCGAGUCGGCCUGCGCGGAAGAUGUAACGGGGCUAAACCAUGCACCGAAGCUGCGGCAGCGACGCUGAUGCGUUGUUGGGUAGGGGAGCGUUCUGUAAGCCUGUGAAGGUGUGCUGUGAGGUAUGCUGGAGGUAUCAGAAGUGCGAAUGCUGACAUAAGUAACGAUAAAGCGGGUGAAAAGCCCGCUCGCCGGAAGACCAAGGGUUCCUGUCCAACGUUAAUCGGGGCAGGGUGAGUCGACCCCUAAGGCGAGGCCGAAAGGCGUAGUCGAUGGGAAACAGGUUAAUAUUCCUGUACUUGGUGUUACUGCGAAGGGGGGACGGAGAAGGCUAUGUUGGCCGGGCGACGGUUGUCCCGGUUUAAGCGUGUAGGCUGGUUUUCCAGGCAAAUCCGGAAAAUCAAGGCUGAGGCGUGAUGACGAGGCACUACGGUGCUGAAGCAACAAAUGCCCUGCUUCCAGGAAAAGCCUCUAAGCAUCAGGUAACAUCAAAUCGUACCCCAAACCGACACAGGUGGUCAGGUAGAGAAUACCAAGGCGCUUGAGAGAACUCGGGUGAAGGAACUAGGCAAAAUGGUGCCGUAACUUCGGGAGAAGGCACGCUGAUAUGUAGGUGAAGUCCCUCGCGGAUGGAGCUGAAAUCAGUCGAAGAUACCAGCUGGCUGCAACUGUUUAUUAAAAACACAGCACUGUGCAAACACGAAAGUGGACGUAUACGGUGUGACGCCUGCCCGGUGCCGGAAGGUUAAUUGAUGGGGUUAGCGCAAGCGAAGCUCUUGAUCGAAGCCCCGGUAAACGGCGGCCGUAACUAUAACGGUCCUAAGGUAGCGAAAUUCCUUGUCGGGUAAGUUCCGACCUGCACGAAUGGCGUAAUGAUGGCCAGGCUGUCUCCACCCGAGACUCAGUGAAAUUGAACUCGCUGUGAAGAUGCAGUGUACCCGCGGCAAGACGGAAAGACCCCGUGAACCUUUACUAUAGCUUGACACUGAACAUUGAGCCUUGAUGUGUAGGAUAGGUGGGAGGCUUUGAAGUGUGGACGCCAGUCUGCAUGGAGCCGACCUUGAAAUACCACCCUUUAAUGUUUGAUGUUCUAACGUUGACCCGUAAUCCGGGUUGCGGACAGUGUCUGGUGGGUAGUUUGACUGGGGCGGUCUCCUCCUAAAGAGUAACGGAGGAGCACGAAGGUUGGCUAAUCCUGGUCGGACAUCAGGAGGUUAGUGCAAUGGCAUAAGCCAGCUUGACUGCGAGCGUGACGGCGCGAGCAGGUGCGAAAGCAGGUCAUAGUGAUCCGGUGGUUCUGAAUGGAAGGGCCAUCGCUCAACGGAUAAAAGGUACUCCGGGGAUAACAGGCUGAUACCGCCCAAGAGUUCAUAUCGACGGCGGUGUUUGGCACCUCGAUGUCGGCUCAUCACAUCCUGGGGCUGAAGUAGGUCCCAAGGGUAUGGCUGUUCGCCAUUUAAAGUGGUACGCGAGCUGGGUUUAGAACGUCGUGAGACAGUUCGGUCCCUAUCUGCCGUGGGCGCUGGAGAACUGAGGGGGGCUGCUCCUAGUACGAGAGGACCGGAGUGGACGCAUCACUGGUGUUCGGGUUGUCAUGCCAAUGGCACUGCCCGGUAGCUAAAUGCGGAAGAGAUAAGUGCUGAAAGCAUCUAAGCACGAAACUUGCCCCGAGAUGAGUUCUCCCUGACCCUUUAAGGGUCCUGAAGGAACGUUGAAGACGACGACGUUGAUAGGCCGGGUGUGUAAGCGCAGCGAUGCGUUGAGCUAACCGGUACUAAUGAACCGUGAGGCUUAACCUU
rnacentral:rRNA from 1 species